rnacentral:rRNA from 1 species
UACGUAGGGACCAAGCGUUGUCCGGAAUCAUUGGGCGUAAAGAGCGUGUAGGCGGCUUGUUAAGUCUUGCGUGAAAUCUCGGGGCUCAACCCCGAGCGGUCGUGAGAAACUGGCAGGCUAGAGUGCGGGAGAGGAGAGUGGAAUUCCUGGUGUAGCGGUGAAAUGCGUAGAGAUCAGGAGGAACACCGAUGGCGAAGGCAGGUCUCUGGGCUGACACUGACGCUCAUGCACGAAAGCGUGGGGAGCAAACAGG